AAAAAAGCAGGGGCUUGUUGUUAUAAUGAACUGGUCUCUCGUAAACUUCAGGAAAAUAGAAUGCAUUGUUAUUGGGUGAGCCGUUGUAGGUUCUACCUUUGACAAAAGGUUCAAAAAAUGGUGCAAUAUUG